UACGUAGGAGGCGAGCGUUGUCCGGAAUUACUGGGCGUAAAGCGCGCGUAGGCGGUCUGUCGCGUCGGCGGUGAAAGCCCUCGGCUCACCUGGGGGAGGUCCGCCGAAGCGGACAGACUGGAGGGCGGUAGGGGCUGGCGGAACGCCCGGAGUAGCGGUGAAAUGCGUUGAGAUCGGGCAGAACACCAGUGGCGAAGGCGGCCGGCUGGGCCGACCCUGACGCUGAGGCGCGAAAGCCAGGGGAGCGAACGGA
rnacentral:rRNA from 1 species